rnacentral:rRNA from 1 species
AUGGAAAACUCUCUCAAAACUGUACUCAGCGAAGGAAAUGUCAUGUUAAUAGCUAAAACAGAGGAGAGAGUUGGUGAACUCAGACAAGGGGAAAAUUCUGUGAUGGAGUAUGUUGCUGAACUGCAGCGUUUGUGGGAUGAUUUAAAUCACUAUGAUCCUCUGGAUUGGCCACAUGCAGAUUGCAUAGCAGCUGCUAGAAAAUGGAUUGAACGGAGGCGAGUGAUGCAGUUUCUCAAAGGUUUGAGCUCUGAAUUUGAGGCGAGAUGUGCUACUUUAUUUCAUCAACCUACUCUUCCUACCUUAGAGGAUGCCAUAGCAGCAAUGGCACAGGAGGAGGUCCGAUUAAAGUUGAUGAAGAACAAUACAAUGACUCCAUCUCAUCCAGCCUUCAUAGCAACUGACUAUAAGAGCAGAGAGUGCUUCAACUGCAGCGAGAAGGGCUAG